AGCAGCCGCGGUAAUUCCAGCUCCAAUAGCGUAUAUUAAAGUUGUUGCAGUUAAAAAGCUCGUAGUUGAAUUUCGGGAUCAAUAUGUUGGUCGUGCCUUGGUACGUACUAAUUUAUUGGUUUCUUCCUUCUGACGAACCAUGAUGUCAUUAAUUUGGUGUCUUGGGGAAUCAGGACUGUUACUUUGAAAAAUUAGAGUGUUUAAAGCAGGCUCGCGCUUGAAUACAUUAGCAUGGAAUAAUGAGAUAGGACGUUUGAUUCUAUUUUGUUGGUUUCUAGGAUCGACGUAAUGAUUAAUAGGGAUAGUUGGGGGCAUUAGUAUUCAAUUGUCAGAGGUGAAAUUCUUGGAUUUAUUGAAGACUAACUACUGCGAAAGCAUUUGCCAAGGAUGUUUUCAUUAAUCAAGAACGAAAGUUAGGGGAUCGAAGACGAUCAGAUACCGUCGUAGCCU
rnacentral:rRNA from 1 species